UACAGGGGGUGCAAGCGUUGCUCGGAAUCAUUGGGCGUAAAGCGCACGUAGGCGGUUCGGUAUGUCGGAUGUGAAAGCCCUGGGCUUAACCGAGGAAGUGCAUCCGAAACUGGCGAGCUAGAGUACUAAAGAGGAUCGCGGAAUUCCCGGUGUAGAGGUGAAAUUCGUAGAUAUCGGGAGGAACACCGGUGGCGAAGGCGGCGAUCUGGGUAGAUACUGACGCUGAGGUGCGAAAGCGUGGGGAGCAAACAGG
rnacentral:rRNA from 1 species